rnacentral:lncRNA from 1 species
AUCACUCACUUGCUUUUUUAACUCUAUCCUAUAUGGAGAAGUAAAAAAGCAAUGUAUAAGGUCACAAUACAUCUUAGAUUAAAUUUGGUAGUGACAUCAAGAAGAGCUCUGUAGAAUACUGCAUCUGCCUCGCCAAUACAAUGGCUUAAAAAUCCUAUACUCAUCCAGGACUUCCCUUCAGCAUUCAAGAAUUUGUCACAAAUUUAUUUAUGUUCUUUUUGAAUAAUGAAUCAGGUAAAUCACCUCCUAUCUAGUAAAAUUAAAUUUCUUAUGUUUUCUGCUAAGAUGACAUCUUACAAAUUUUAAAUUCUAUUAUUCUGUGGGUGUGGCUUACUGUAGAAUUAUAUUUAUUCUUCUUGCCUUCAAUUUUGCUAUCAUCCCAGUAAAACCUAACUUUCAGCAUCAUUCAAAUGAAUUUGUUUUCACUAAGACUGUCAAUAAUUUCUAGUUUCCAAAUCAAAGUGAUUUUUUCCCUCAGUACUUCUAUGAGACAUCUGCUGAAUUUGAUCAUACCUUGGUAAAAAGGAAUUUAUACCUCACUGCCUUAAAAUCUCACCUUUCUGUACCCACCACCCCGACCAUUCUUCUGAUGUUAUUUAUCAUCAUGGAGUCCCAGUUCUUUAUCAAUCGCUAGAUAUGGGUGCAUCUAAGAGUUGCAUUCUUAUUCUAUGCCCAUUUAUUGCUCUCUUAAUUACUGAAUGGUCCCAAAUCUGUAUCUUCAACCCAGACUUCUUCUUUGAGUUAGAAAUUUAUAUAUUCAAUUUUCUGUUGCAAGUACAUAUAUGUUGCAUUUAUGAGCAGACACCUUAACACGUUUAGUAAUUUCCAUUUUCAUAUAAGUGCUUCAUAAAGUUUCCUUUUCCCUCUUAAUUCUCUACUUUUAGAAAAUUGAAUACUGAGAGUUCUGAAAAUCUUAACUGCUAAAGUCUCUCAAGUCUAGGCUUCCCUCUCCAGGCCUAACUAAAAUGUUAUAGUUUGAGUAAACAUUUCUAGAAACAGAUCUAUGAAGACAGACUUUACCAGAACUAUCAAGUAUGAGGAAAUAAUUAAAAUGUGGGUACCAAUUUGUUUUUUUUUAAUUUUUAUUUUUAAAGUUAAAAGUUUGCUGGAUACCAUUUAGUAUAGAUCAUUUAUAAAACAUUUGAAAUUAAAAUUUUAGCCUGUAACUUGGAAUACCCUAUUUCUUUGUUUCCAAGUUCUAAUCUAGAAAUAUUUGGGAAUAUUUCCUUCCAGAUUAAUUAACAACUGAACUAUUAGUUCUCAACAUAAAUUUUAUCAAAAGUUUUUAAAAGAUGAAGUACAUUGUGUGUUCUUGGUAAUAUAUUUAUUUACCCUUUUAAAUUUAAACAUGAGUUUAAUUUUUCCUGUUUAAAAAUGUUGCCUUAUGGGCAAAAGCAUAAGGAGUUUUUAUCUAUUUUGUUUUUGUCCAAACUGGGAGUUGCCUGGAUUGUGAUCAAAAUUAAAAUAAGAACAAUAAGUUUGUUUCAGAUAAAUAUGUCUUUAUUUUCCAAAGAGCUGACUCAUUGGAAAAACCCCUGAUGCUGAGAAAGGUUGAGGGCAGGAGAAGAUGGGGUCAAAAGAGGAUGAGAUGGUUGGAUGGCAUCACCAACUCAAUGGACAUGAG